rfam:Myotis davidii contig196998, whole genome shotgun sequence.
GUGCUUGCUUCGGCUACACAUAUAUUCAAAUUGGAUGAUACAGAGAAGGUUAGUAAGGCCCGUGUGCAAGAAUGACAAGCAAAUGUUACAAAAUCUUAGCAUUUGU